rnacentral:lncRNA from 1 species
CAUGAAUUAAAUAAAUAGACAGAAAUGAAUAACUAGAAAUACUAACACUUGGCACAGAUCUAGUUAAGAGGAGUCUAAGUAAUGACUGCUUUACAAAAGAAAAAGUAUCAUUCUGUUCUAGAGUUGGAAUCAGGAAGAAAAAAAGAAACAGGACUUAAAGGAAAAGUUAUCCCCAACUUUGUACAAGGGAAAGAAGAGAGCUUUGAAGAAAAUUAAAGAGGAAUGCUACUCUAGAUGAGAGAGUGGUUAAAGAAAGCCCAUCUAAAGUGAUAAUGUUAAAGUAGAGAUCUGAAUGAAGCGAGAGAGGGAGCUACUCAAACCCAGGUAGAGGUAUAGUGUCGACUGCACUCCCAGAUGGUGUGGACCAGAGUAUCCUGUGAUGCCUCACCAACGCUUCUAUCCGAGAGCAGGCGCGUGCUACGUUAUCCAUCGCAGUUUGCAUAUGCAGGGAGCCCAUGCCUUUGAUUCUGUGAUGGAUACACAUUCCAGCAUGGACAGUGUGGACUAAGCAUUCCUCUUUCAGCUUUAAAGAUACGACCAUAAAUCCAGCAGAGCUUUCUGCAGGGUCUGUCGUCCCCAUGCACUGUUAAACAUGAUUCUGUUUCAGUGACAGGAGACGUGAAUUCUGCAGGACCAGA